rnacentral:rRNA from 1 species
AUUGAACGCUGGCGGCAUGCUUUACAUAUGCAAGUCGAACGGUAACAGGCCUUCGGGUGCUGACGAGUGGCGCACGGGUGAGUAAUGCAUCGGAACGUGCCCAGAGGUGGGGGAUAACGCAGCGAAAGCUGUGCUAAUACCGCAUGUGAUCUGAGGAUGAAAGCGGGGGACCAAGCAGCAAUGUUUGGCCUCGCGCCUCUGGAGCGGCCGAUGUCAGAUUAGGUAGUUGGUGGGGUAAAGGCCUACCAAGCCGACGAUCUGUAGCUGGUCUGAGAGGACGACCAGCCACACUGGGACUGAGACACGGCCCAGACUCCUACGGGAGGCAGCAGUGGGGAAUUUUGGACAAUGGGCGCAAGCCUGAUCCAGCAAUGCCGCGUGCGGGAAGAAGGCCUUCGGGUUGUAAACCGCUUUUGUACGGAACGAAAAGGCUCUGGCUAAUACCUGGGGCUGAUGACGGUACCGUAAGAAUAAGCACCGGCUAACUACGUG